AGAUUAAGUUAUUAAGGGCGCACGGUGGAUGCCUUGGCACUAGAAGCCGAUGAAGGACGUUACUAACGACGAUAUGCUUUGGGUAGCUGUAAGUAAGCGUUGAUCCAGAGAUUUCCGAAUGGGGGAACCCAGCAUGAGUUAUGUCAUGUUAUCGACAUGUGAAUUUAUAGCAUGUCAGAAGGCAGACCCGGAGAACUGAAACAUCUUAGUACCCGGAGGAAGAGAAAGAAAAAUCGAUUCCCUGAGUAGCGGCGAGCGAAACGGGAAUAGCCCAAACCAACAAGCUUGCUUGUUGGGGUUGUAGGACACUCUAUACGGAGUUACAAAAGAACAUGUUAGACGAAUCAUCUGGAAAGAUGAAUCAAAGAAGGUAAUAAUCCUGUAGUCGAAAACAUAUUCUCUCUUGAGUGGAUCCUGAGUACGACGGAGCACGUGAAAUUCCGUCGGAAUCUGGGAGGACCAUCUCCUAAGGCUAAAUACUCUCUAGUGACCGAUAGUGAACCAGUACCGUGAGGGAAAGGUGAAAAGUACCCCGGAAGGGGAGUGAAAGAGAACUUGAAACCGUGUGCUUACAAGUAGUCAGAGCCCGUUAAUGGGUGAUGGCGUGCCUUUUGUAGAAUGAACCGGCGAGUUACGAUCUGAUGCAAGGUUAAGCAGCAAAUGUGGAGCCGCAGCGAAAGCGAGUCUGAAUAGGGCGUUGAGUAUUUGGUCGUAGACCCGAAACCAGGUGAUCUACCCUUGGUCAGGUUGAAGUUCAGGUAACACUGAAUGGAGGACCGAACCGACUUACGUUGAAAAGUGAGCGGAUGAACUGAGGGUAGCGGAGAAAUUCCAAUCGAACUUGGAGAUAGCUGGUUCUCUCCGAAAUAGCUUUAGGGCUAGCCUCAAGUGAUGAUUAUUGGAGGUAGAGCACUGUUUGGACGAGGGGCCCCUCUCGGGUUACCGAAUUCAGACAAACUCCGAAUGCCAAUUAAUUUAACUUGGGAGUCAGAACAUGGGUGAUAAGGUCCGUGUUCGAAAGGGAAACAGCCCAGACCACCAGCUAAGGUCCCAAAAUAUAUGUUAAGUGGAAAAGGAUGUGGCGUUGCCCAGACAACUAGGAUGUUGGCUUAGAAGCAGCCAUCAUUUAAAGAGUGCGUAAUAGCUCACUAGUCGAGUGACACUGCGCCGAAAAUGUACCGGGGCUAAACAUAUUACCGAAGCUGUGGAUUGUCCUUUGGACAAUGGUAGGAGAGCGUUCUAAGGGCGUCGAAGCAUGAUCGCAAGGACAUGUGGAGCGCUUAGAAGUGAGAAUGCCGGUGUGAGUAGCGAAAGACGGGUGAGAAUCCCGUCCACCGAUUGACUAAGGUUUCCAGAGGAAGGCUCGUCCGCUCUGGGUUAGUCGGGUCCUAAGCUGAGGCCGACAGGCGUAGGCGAUGGAUAACAGGUUGAUAUUCCUGUACCACCUAGUAUCGUUUUAAUCGAUGGGGGGACGCAGUAGGAUAGGCGAAGCGUGCUGUUGGAGUGCACGUCCAAGCAGUAAGGCUGAGUGUUAGGCAAAUCCGGCACUCAUAAGGCUGAGCUGUGAUGGGGAGAGGAAAUUGUUUCCUCGAGUCGUUGAUUUCACACUGCCGAGAAAAGCCUCUAGAUAGAUAACAGGUGCCCGUACCGCAAACCGACACAGGUAGUCAAGAUGAGAAUUCUAAGGUGAGCGAGCGAACUCUCGUUAAGGAACUCGGCAAAAUGACCCCGUAACUUCGGGAGAAGGGGUGCUCUUUAGGGUUCACGCCCAGAAGAGCCGCAGUGAAUAGGCCCAAGCGACUGUUUAUCAAAAACACAGGUCUCUGCUAAACCGUAAGGUGAUGUAUAGGGGCUGACGCCUGCCCGGUGCUGGAAGGUUAAGAGGAGUGGUUAGCUUCUGCGAAGCUACGAAUCGAAGCCCCAGUAAACGGCGGCCGUAACUAUAACGGUCCUAAGGUAGCGAAAUUCCUUGUCGGGUAAGUUCCGACCCGCACGAAAGGCGUAACGAUUUGGGCACUGUCUCAACGAGAGACUCGGUGAAAUCAUAGUACCUGUGAAGAUGCAGGUUACCCGCGACAGGACGGAAAGACCCCGUGGAGCUUUACUGUAGCCUGAUAUUGAAAUUCGGCACAGCUUGUACAGGAUAGGUAGGAGCCUUUGAAACGUGAGCGCUAGCUUACGUGGAGGCGUUGGUGGGAUACUACCCUAGCUGUGUUGGCUUUCUAACCCGCACCACUUAUCGUGGUGGGAGACAGUGUCAGGCGGGCAGUUUGACUGGGGCGGUCGCCUCCUAAAAGG
rnacentral:rRNA from 1 species